GGGGGUUUGAUCUUCUGACUGGUAAUACUCGGAACUAGGGCUGGGCAGUGUAACUAGUAUAUUAUAGCAAUAUCGCGAUACAGAUACAUACACCGAUCUGCCAUAACAUUAUAACCACCUGCAUAAUAUUGUGUAGCCCCCCCCCCCUUUGGGACUCGACAAGACCUCUGAAGGUGUGCUGUGGUAUCUGGCACCGAGAUGUUAACAGCAGGUCCUUUAAGUCCUGUAAAUUGCAAUGUGGGGGCUCCAUGGAUUGGACUUGUUUGUCCGGCACGUCCCACAGAUGCUCGAUUGGAUGGAGAUCUGGGGAAUUUGGAGGCCGACUCAACACCUUGAACUCUUUGUCAUGUUCCUCAAACCGUUCCUGAACAAUAUUUGCAGUGUCUCGGGGCCUCAGUGAAAGAGACCGCUGACAUUAGGGAAUACUGUUGCCAUGAAGGUGUGUACUCGGUCUGCAACAAUGUUUAGGUAGAUGGUACGUGUCAAUGUAACAUCCACAUGAAUGCCAGGACCUAAAGUUUCCCAGCAGAACAUUACAUAGAGCAUCACACUGCCUCCGCCGACUUGCCUUCUUCCCAUAGUGCAUCCUGGUUCCAUCUCUUCCCCAGGUAAGCGACACACGCACCCAGUCCACACGGAGUAAAAGAAAACGUGAUUCAUCAGACCAGGCCAUCUUUUUCCAUUGCUCCAUGGUCCAGUUGUAAUGCUCACGUACCCAAUAUAGGUGCUUUCGGAGGUGGACAGGAGUCAGCAUGGGCGCUCUGACCGGUCUGUGGCUACACAGCCCCAUACACAUCAAGCUGUGAUGCACGGUGUGUCCUGACACCUUUCUACCAGAACCGGCGUUAACUUUUUCAGCAAUUUGUGCUACAGUAGAUCUUCUGUGCGAUCGGACCAGACGGGCUAGUCUUCGCUCCCCAAUCCUUUGGGGCCAUGAUCCUGUCACCGGUUCACCGGUUGUCCUUCCUUGGACCACUUUUGAAGAGGUCCAGGUAGAACUCCCUUUGAGAACCCAAGACCAUCAAAAGAAUCGCUGAGGAACCCUAUUUUUCUAAGCAUGUACGUGCAUAUCGACUGAUCCCAAUGUAAAGCUGUUUGGAGAUCUUGGAGAUGGGAGACGUGAUCGAGAACUUGUAAACGCCUUGGUGGAAGAAUGGAGGAACAUCUCACAGCAAGAACUGACCAAUCUGGUGCAGGCCAUGAGGAUGAGAUGCCCUGUAGCACAAAGCAGCUGGAGGAAACCAGAUACUCACUGUUACUUUUAAUAUCGACCCCCCGCCCCCCCUCCCCUUUCUUCAGGGACAUAUUAUUCCAUUUGUGUUCCUCAAAUAUCUGUGAAACUUCUUCAGUUUCUGUCGCAGUUGUUAAAUGUUUUUAUGUUAAUACAAUUAGUAUUACUGUUAUAUUACUAUCAUAAUAUAAAUAUAUAUAAAUAUAAAUAUAUCUUAAUAUAUUAAGAAAUUUGCUGGAAAUAAAAGCAGUUG
ensembl:lncRNA